rnacentral:lncRNA from 1 species
AGUCUAGCCCUGCUCCAAGCCCGGCAGAGGGAGACUGGGGCGGCCCUGAGGAACGCCCUACACCCCCUCCUAAAGUUGAUCAACCUCUCCUCCCCUCCACCGUUCCCCUAGCCUACUCACCUCCCCACUCCGUUCUUUCCCAGAGAAGCGCAGCCGCUGCGCUCCGGCCGGUUCAGCAGGAUCAAUAACCAAAGUGCGCAAAGAAGGCGACCUCGGAGAGACCUAGCAGAGAACAGGAGAUAUGUGCAACCAUCACUACUGUCAAUUUUAGAACAUUUUCAUCACCUCAAAAAGAAAUCUCGAUCCCCCAGCCUUCUAUCUCCUCAAACCCCCAGCCCUAAGCAACCACUAAUCUACUCUCUGUCUCUAUGGAUUUCCCUAUCCUGGAUACUUCAUAUAAAUGGAAUCAUAUCAUCUGUGGUUUUCGUGCCUAGCUUCUUUUAUUAGCAUAAUGUUUCAAAUUUCAUCCAUGUUGUAGCGUGUAUCAGUACUUCAUUUCUUUUUCUGACUGAAGAAUAUUUCAUUGUAUGAUUAGCUCACUUUUUG